AACGAACGCUGGCGGCAGGCUUAACACAUGCAAGUCGAGCGCCCCGCAAGGGGAGCGGCAGACGGGUGAGUAACGCGUGGGAAUCUACCCAUCCCUACGGAAUAGCUCCGGGAAACUGGAAUUAAUACCGUAUACGCCCUACGGGGGAAAGAUUUAUCGGGGAUGGAUGAGCCCGCGUUGGAUUAGCUAGUUGGUGGGGUAAAGGCCUACCAAGGCGACGAUCCAUAGCUGGUCUGAGAGGAUGAUCAGCCACAUUGGGACUGAGACACGGCCCAAACUCCUACGGGAGGCAGCAGUGGGGAAUAUUGGACAAUGUGGGCAACCCUGAUCCAGCCAUGCCGCGUGAGUGAUGAAGGCCUUAGGGUUGUAAAGCUCUUUCACCGGGGGAGAUAAUGACGGUACCCGGAGAAGAAGCCCCGGCUAACUUCGUGCCAGCCGCCGCGGUAA
rnacentral:rRNA from 1 species